rnacentral:misc_RNA from 1 species
GAUGAAGAACGCAGCGAAAUGCGAUAAGUAAUGUGAAUUGCAGAAUUCAGUGAAUCAUCGAAUCUUUGAACGCACAUUGCGCCCGCCAGCACUCUGGCGGGCAUGCCUGUUCGAGCGUCAUUGCUGCCCUCAAGCACGGCUUGUGUGUUGGGCCCCGUCCUCCGAUCCCGGGGGACGGGCCCGAAAGGCAGCGGCGGCACCGCGUCCGGUCCUCGAGCGUAUGGGGCUUUGUCACCCGCUCUGUAGGCCCGGCCGGCGCUUGCCGAUCAACCCAAAUUUUUAUCCAGGUUGACCUCGGAUCAGGUAGGGAUACCCGCUGAACUUAAGCAUAUCAAUAAGCGGAGGA